UACGAAGGGUGCAAGCGUUACUCGGAAUACUGGGCGUAAAGCGUGCGCAGGCGGUUCCUUAAGUCAGAUGUGAAAGCCCCGGGCUUAACCUGGGAACUGCGUUUGAAACUGGGAGACUUGAGUGUGGCAGAGGGGGUGGAAUUCCGACGUGUAGCGGUGAAAUGCGUAGAUAUGUGGAGGAACACCGAUGGCGAAGGCAGCCCCCUGGGUCAAGAUUGACGCUCGAUGCACGAAAGCGUGGGGAGCAAACAGG
rnacentral:rRNA from 1 species